ACCCCAGGCUCCGCGUGCGGCGUUCAGCCCCCGGCUCUGGCCAUGGCUACACUGAGGGUCCAUCCUGAAGCCCAAGCCAAGGUCAGGCCCUACACCUAAAGGGAACUGUCCUCAAAAGAACUGGCCUUAAAGCUAGGUUUCUGAAGGGUUGCCUGCCUGUACUCUACAGGUGGAUGUGUUUCGUGAGGACCUGUGUAGUAAGGUAAGACCUACAACAUCGGGAACCCCACCUCCACCCAGCACCUACGACUCUGGCCUCCCUCGCUGGGCGCUGUGACCCCUUACUUCAGUGCCUUGGAAAGGGUGUUUGCUUCUGACCCUAUCCUCCUCCACUGCCUUACACAGACAGAGAACCUGCUUGGGAGCUAUUUUCCCAAGAAGAUCUCAGAGUUGGAUGCCUUCUUAAAGGUAGUGGGGCCCCCGGCAAAGACUCAAGAGGAUCCCGGGGGUGGGGGUGGGGU
rnacentral:lncRNA from 1 species